GAUUAGAUGAGGAAGAGGUGUGUUACCUGCUGCUAAGGUGCUCACCUGUCCGUGUUUGUGUUCCUCGGCGUCUGAGAGCACUUCUCGCGGUCUACAUUGGCUGUCAAAGUUGACCAACUUGUCAGAUUAUGUCCACAACCUUCGACUAUCCAGGUCUACAUUGGCUGUCAAAGUUGACCAACUUGUCAGAUUAUGUCCACAACCUUCGACUAUCCAGCAGGUGUGGUUCUACAGCAGCAAGGGGCUGGACCAGGACUGAGUAUGUGAG